rnacentral:rRNA from 1 species
GGGCCCGCACAAGCGGUGGAGCAUGUGGUUUAAUUCGAUGCAACGCGAAGAACCUUACCUGGGCUUGACAUCCUCUGCCAUAUUUGGAGACAAAUAGUUCUUUUCGGAGACAGAGUGACAGGUGCUGCAUGGCUGUCGUCAGCUCGUGUCGUGAGAUGUUGGGUUAAGUCCCGCAACGAGCGCAACCCUUGUCCUUAGUUGCUAACGAUUCGGUCGAGGACUCUAAGGAGACUGCCAGUGUUAAGCUGGAGGAAGGUAGGGAUGACGUCAAGUCCUCAUGGCCCUUAUGUCCAGGGCUACACACGUGCUACAAUGGUGACUUCAGAGGGAUGCGAAGCGGCGACGUGGAGCGAAUCUCAGAAAGGUCAUCUCAGUUCGGAUUGUAGUCUGCAACUCGACUACAUGAAGUUGGAAUCGCUAGUAAUCG